GAUGAACGCUGGCGGCGUGCCUAAUACAUGCAAGUCGAGCGAACGGACGAGAAGCUUGCUUCUCUGAUGCUAGCGGCGGACGGGUGAGUAACACGCGGAUAACCUACCUAUAAGACUGGGAUAACUUCGGGAAACCGGAGCUAAUACCGGAUGAUAUUUUGAACCGCAUGGUUCAAAAGUGAAAGACGGUCUUGCUGUCACUUAUAGAUGGAUCCGCGCUGCAUUAGCUAGUUGGUAAGGUAACGGCUUACCAAGGCAACGAUGCAUAGCCGACCUGAGAGGGUGAUCGGCCACACUGGAACUGAGACACGGUCCAGACUCCUACGGGAGGCAGCAGUAGGGAAUCUUCCGCAAUGGGCGAAAGCCUGACGGAGCAACGCCGCGUGAGUGAUGAAGGUCUUCGGAUCGUAAAACUCUGUUAUUAGGGAAGAACAUAUGUGUAAGUAACUGUGCACAUCUUGACGGUACCUAAUCAGAAAGCCACGGCUAACUACGUG
rnacentral:rRNA from 1 species